rnacentral:lncRNA from 1 species
UAAUCCAACAAGUCAGACAUUAUAGAGAUCUCUUCUACAUCAGAACAACAAAUAUAUGUCAAAUGAUCAGAGUAUAAAGCAGAUUAAAAACUUGAUGUUUGACAAAGCCGUGUGACACUGGACAGUCCAAGUUUCAGGAUGAACAUGUGGGCAUUACAGGAUGCCUAUAUAUUUCUCUAAGAUCUUAAAUGGAUUAAGCUUCCAAAAGAAUUAGAGGUUAAUCCUAAAAGACUAAAAGAUAAAUAUUAUUAUGGAACAAAAGCAGACGGGGCUAAGCAUAGCUUAUAAAACUUAUGUUAACUCCAAACACAAGAGCAGGUGUUAAGGUGACAACUAGAUCUCUUAUACUCCAAACACAAGAGCAGGUGUUAAGGUGACAACUAGAUCUCUUAUACUCACAGUGAUGCAUUAUCUAGCAUUAUGCAGAAGUAUGUCAUUAUAGCAAUCAAUCAACUAGUAUAAAAAGUUGAUAGGGGAAACAAAAAAUGCAAAAAUAAUGACACGAGACAAGUAUCCGCUCAACUUCGGAAAGAAAAAGAGAUAAAAUUAUGGAAGUAAAAAAGAAUGGAAGAUACACAAGAUGGGAAAAUUUCUAUUUUGGUCCCUAAGUAAAAGAUGCACCAAUUAUUAAUUUCCUCACUUAGUUUUAUCAAAUUUGAGAAGCCCUUGAAGAAUAUUAUCCUUGACUUUUUAUAAUAGAAAUACUUUCCCCUUUGGUUUUUCCAUCUAAUUCUAACAUGCUAUCAGUUUCUCGUCUACCAAAGUCUAACAAUUUGAUCACUCAAGUUCACAUUCCCAAUAUCAGUGUCCCUUUCACCAGGACUAAAAUGAGUU